GACACAGACGGCACCGUCAGUCAGAAUGGCUCCUGUUUACAGAGUCGCCUUCUUACUGCUGUAUAUGGGAGCAUCAGUGUAUUUUGGUUCUCUUGGAUCUACAAUGAGCGUGUUCCAGUCUCCAGAGAACAUCACAGCUGCAGCCGGCUCCACAGUGGGGAUUACGUGCACUCCUUCAUGGGACUACGAGUACUUCAAAGUGAUGUGGGACUACGGCGGGACGCGUGUGAACGUGUCCGCCAUGAAUCUUUUGUCUUCACGCUUUAAUGCAUCAAGUCCUUGCAAAAAAAAAUGCACACUGACAAUCAAAGAUGCAACAACAACAGACAGUGGAUGGUAUUUCUGUCAGGUUAAAAUCGAAAUUCCUGUUGUGAAGACGGCCAGAGGCAACGGGACCCAAGUUACCAUUCAUGCCUCAUCCUUUUCAUCUGGUUCAAACCCCUACUUACUACCACCGUGUCCCUGAGCAAGACAAUGUGUCCAGGGGGACUGUCCCUCUAACUACUGAUCGUAAGUUGUUCUGGAUAAGGGCAUUUUAAUCAUUCGGCGAGCUUGUCUGUGCACGGCCCUAGUAACCACAGUGAAUUAACACUGAACUGAUAUUAAAUAAGAAUCUGAGUCUACAUGCAGUUUGCCCCCCUCAGGUGACCCGGUGGUGCCGGCCGCUGCUGCCGCCACAGGAUGUUGCCUUGUGAUUGCUGUUAUUGCUGUCUGUGCAAUCUGGCGCCGAAGGUUGCGUGAAGAUAGAGGUACUUAUUAAGAUUUUUAUAUAAUAUUCUAUUACACUGAUGUGUGAAUAGAUAUGUGAAUACAGCAGUGCACAAGCCGAUAAUUGGCAGUCCAGAGGCCAUCUCCUCAACGUCUGAUUGGUUCUUUCCCACUGAAAGACCCUGGAAAGACGUGUCACCGCUAUAACAUUUCACUUCUGUGAAAAACAGCCUUGCAAAGUCACUGUGCUGCUCGAUGCACUGAAGAUCAAGGUCAGUUAGAUGGAAAUACAGUAACGUGUGCACGCUGCCUGCUUGCUUGUGUGCAGGCCUCCAUGCAGGGGCGGGUCAGAGGCGCUCGGCCGUGUGGUUAUACGGUUUCAGACAGGACGCGAAAGCAGAGCGUUACUCGAAUAGUUGCACAUCAGCCAGCGCGUGGUUACCGCGGGUACCGCCACUGCGUCCCCUGAUGAGGCCUGUCCUGUUUGCUGUUGCUCUGCAGAGAACCCCGUUUAUGACAACGUGCAAGUCACGAACAGACACGCGACCGGCAAAGACCUGGCCGCCACGACAGCAUCCAGGAAUCAGCAAAGUAAAUCAUCCGGUCCCACAUCCCAGACUUGUGACUUGUGUCUGGGACAUAUCUGACCUGUCUUAUUCUUACACAACAAUGUUUAAAAUGCAACAAUGAUGAAAGUACUGAGAUAUUUCAUUUAAUACUUUUAAAAAUGUAAGUUCAAUUUAAUGAGAAUGUAAAGAGAGAUGAAAUGUGAACAUAAGAUUUUAGAAAUAGGUUUAGAAAGUCCAAAUUGGACUUGUGUGUGGCCACAAAUGCUAUAUCGAGGUGGCAAAGCGGUCUGGGUUUGGCAGUGUAACAUCAGGGGAAACUGCAUUGGCUUCUUUGUGUGUCGCUUGUAGUGAACCACAUUUAUGUGAAUAUGCACGCGGUUCCGCGGAGGACAGCACAGGCGCGGCCGGCAGUGCUGACCUCCUCCGGCGGCCAGACGCCGGCCUAUCACAACGUGAGAGACCGGAGUCCAGCGAGGAGCCAGGCGACAUGCCAGACCUCACAGCAAUGACGUGGCGCACAGCGACCAUUGUGAACGGGUGAUAAUUAUCACAUAUCAUUAUGAAUAAAAGUUUUUUGUUUUAAAUAUUACUCCUGACA
rnacentral:lncRNA from 1 species